GAGCGUUGUCCGGAUUUAUUGGUCGGAAAGAGCUCGUAGGCGGCUUGUCGCGUCGUUCGUGAAAACCCACAGCUCAACUGUGGGCUUGCGGUCGAUACGGGCAGGCUGGAGUUCGGUAGGGGAGACUGGAAUUCCUGGUGUAGCGGUGAAAUGCGCAGAUAUCAGGAGGAACACCGGUGGCGAAGGCGGGUCUCUGGGCCGAUACUGACGCUGAGGAGCGAAAGCGUGGGGAGCGAACAGG
rnacentral:rRNA from 1 species